UGUGGUGGGCCAGGGGACACCUCUCCUGCGGCCUCUCAGUGUCUCGCCGGCGGGGUUCGGCCCGAGCUAGUUAGACACAGCCCUUGGCGGAUUUAAACAACCUAAACAUUAAACAAUACAGCUGCCUCAAAUCUUUGGGAAUUUCAGAAUGACUGGCACUGCCGAAGCUGUUCCAAAUUUUGAAGAGAUGUUUGCUAGUAGAUUCACAGAAGAUGACAAGGAGUAUCAGGAAUACUUGAAACGCCCUCCUGAGUCCUCUCCAAUUGUUGAGGAAUGGAAUAGCAGAGCUGGUGGGAACCAAAGAAACAGAGGCAAGCGGUUGCAAGAUAACAGACAGUUCAGAGGCAGGGACGGCAGAUAGGGGUGGCCAAGUGACAAUCGAUCCAAUCAGUGGCGUGGACAAUCCUGGGGUAACAAUUACCUGCAACACAGACAAGAACCUUACUAUCCCCACCAAUAUGGACAUGGUUACAACCAGCCGCCCCCUUACGAUAGAAAUGUUGGCAGCUUUUAGUAAAAGCAUUUACUCUGUUACCACGACAAAAGUUUGGGUGUCUUCUGU